rnacentral:rRNA from 1 species
CAGCCACCACGCGGGAAACCGGGGAACACCCGAGAGAGGUUUUCCUCGCUCAGAUGAACGCUGGCGGCAGGCUAACACAUGCAAGUCGAGCGGUAGCACAGAGAGCUUGCUCUCGGGUGACGAGCGGCGGACGGGUGAGUAAUGUCUGGGAAACUGCCUGAUGGAGGGGGAUAACUACUGGAAACGGUAGCUAAUACCGCAUAACGUCGCAAGACCAAAGUGGGGGACCUUCGGGCCUCAUGCCAUCAGAUGUGCCCAGAUGGGAUUAGCUAGUAGGUGGGGUAAUGGCUCACCUAGGCGACGAUCCCUAGCUGGUCUGAGAGGAUGACCAGCCACACUGGAACUGAGACACGGUCCAGACUCCUACGGGAGGCAGCAGUGGGGAAUAUUGCACAAUGGGCGCAAGCCUGAUGCAGCCAUGCCGCGUGUAUGAAGAAGGCCUUCGGGUUGUAAAGUACUUUCAGCGAGGAGGAAGGCAUUAAGGUUAAUAACCUUAGUGAUUGACGUUACUCGCAGAAGAAGCACCGGCUAACUCCGUGCCAGCAGCCGCGGUAAUACGGAGGGUGCAAGCGUUAAUCGGAAUUACUGGGCGUAAAGCGCACGCAGGCGGUCUGUUAAGUCAGAUGUGAAAUCCCCGGGCUCAACCUGGGAACUGCAUUUGAAACUGGCAGGCUUGAGUCUUGUAGAGGGGGGUAGAAUUCCAGGUGUAGCGGUGAAAUGCGUAGAGAUCUGGAGGAAUACCGGUGGCGAAGGCGGCCCCCUGGACAAAGACUGACGCUCAG